GACGAACGCUGGCGGCGUGCUUAACACAUGCAAGUCGAACGGAAAGACCCUGCUUUUGUGGGGUGCUCGAGUGGCGAACGGGUGUGUAACACGUGAGUAACCUGCCCUUGACUUUGGGAUAACUUCAGGAAACUGGGGCUAAUACCGGAUAGGAGCUCCUGCUGCAUGGUGGGGGUUGGAAAGUUUCGGCGGUUGGGGAUGGAUUCGCGGCUUAUCAGCUUGUUGGUGGGGUAGUGGCUUACCAAGGCUUUGACGGGUAGCCGGCCUGAGAGGGUGACCGGCCACAAGGGUACUGCGAUACGGCCCAGACGCCUACGGUAGGCAGCAGUGGGGAAUAUUGCACAAUGGGCGGAAGUCUGAUGCAGCAACGCCGCGUGCGGGAUGACGGCCUUCUGGUUGUAAACCGCUUUCGCCUGAGACGAAGCGUUAGUGGCGGUAAUGGGUAAAGAAGCACCGGCUAACUACGUG
rnacentral:rRNA from 1 species